rnacentral:rRNA from 1 species
CUAUGCGCCUUGCCAGCCCGCUCAGAAACUCAAAUGAAUUGACGGGGGCCCGCACAAGCAGCGGAGCGUGUGGUUUAAUUCGAUGAUACGCGAAGAACCUCACCCAGGUUUGACAUGCAUGUGGUACCAAGGUGAAAGCUGAGGGACCCUUCGGGGAGCAUGCACAGGUGUUGCACGGCCGUCGUCAGCUCGUGCCGUGAGGUGUUGGGUUAAGUCCCGCAACGAGCGCAACCCCUGUCGCCAGUUGUAUUUUUCUGGCGAGACUGCCGAGAAAACCUCGGAGGAAGGAGGGGACGAUGUCAGGUCAGCGUGGCCCUUACGCCUGGGGCUACACACACGCUACAAUGGGCAGUACAACGGGUCGCGAAGCCGCGAGGUGGAGCUAAUCCCAUCAAAGCUGUCCUCAGUUCGGAUUGCAGGCUGAAACCCGCCUGCAUGAAGCCGGAGUUGCUAGUAACCGCAGGUCAGCAUUACUGCGGUGAAUACGUUCCCGGGCCUU